AGCAGUAGCCGCGGGAAAACGGAGGGAGCUAGCGUUGUUCGGAAUUACUGGGCGUAAAGCGCGCGUAGGCGGUUACUCAAGUCAGAGGUGAAAGCCCGGGGCUCAACCCCGGAACUGCCUUUGAAACUAGGUGACUAGAAUCUUGGAGAGGUCAGUGGAAUUCCGAGUGUAGAGGUGAAAUUCGUAGAUAUUCGGAAGAACACCAGUGGCGAAGGCGACUGACUGGACAAGUAUUGACGCUGAGGUGCGAAAGCGUGGGGAGCAAACAGGAUUAGAUACCCCGGUAGUCCCUGUCUCUUAUAC
rnacentral:rRNA from 1 species